UGCAAGUCGAGCGCGAAAGCACUUCGGUGUGAGUAAAGCGGCGGACGGGUGAGUAACGCGUAGGAAUCUACCUAGUAGUGGGGGACAACUCGGGGAAACUCGAGCUAAUACCGCAUACGCCCUACGGGGGAAAGCGGGGGACCUUCGGGCCUCGUGCUAUUAGAUGAGCCUGCGUUGGAUUAGCUAGUUGGUGGGGUAAUGGCCUACCAAGGCGACGAUCCGUAGCUGGUCUGAGAGGAUGAUCAGCCACACCGGGACUGAGACACGGCCCGGACUCCUACGGGAGGCAGCAGUGGGGAAUAUUGCGCAAUGGGCGAAAGCCUGACGCAGCCAUGCCGCGUGUGUGAAGAAGGCCUUCGGGUUGUAAAGCACUUUCAAUUGGGAGGAAAGGCUCACGACUAAUACUCGUGAGCUGUGACGUUACCUUUAGAAGAAGCACCGGCUAACUCCGUGCCAGCAGCCGCGGUAAUACGGAGGGUGCGAGCGUUAAUCGGAAUUACUGGGCGUAAAGCGCGCGUAGGUGGUCUGUUAAGUCGGAUGUGAAAGCCCCGGGCUCAACCUGGGAACUGCAUCCGAUACUGGCAGACUAGAGUGCGGGAGAGGGAGGUAGAAUUCCACGUGUAGCGGUGAAAUGCGUAGAUAUGUGGAGGAAUACCAGUGGCGAAGGCGGCCUCCUGGCUCGACACUGACACUGAGGUGCGAAAGCGUGGCUAGCAAACAGGAUUAGAUACCCUGGUAGUCCACGCCGUAAACGAUGUCUACUAGCUGUAGGGGUACUUGAGACCUUUGUAGCGCAGCUAACGCACUAAGUAGACCGCCUGGGGAGUACGGCCGCAAGGUUAAAACUCAAAUGAAUUGACGGGGGCCCGCACAAGCAGUGGAGCAUGUGGUUUAAUUCGAUGCAACGCGAAGAACCUUACCAGGCCUUGACAUCCUCGGAACUUUCUAGAGAUAGAUUGGUGCCUUCGGGAACCGAGUGACAGUGCUGCAUGGCUG
rnacentral:rRNA from 1 species